UGGAGCAUGUGGUUAAUUCGACGCAACGCGAAGAACCUUACCUGGGCUUGACAUCCCGAUCGCACCUUAUGGAAACAUAGGGGUCAGUUCGGCUGGAUCGGUGACAGGUGCUGCAUGGCUGUCGUCAGCUCGUGUCGUGAGAUGUUGGGUUAAGUCCCGCAACGAGCGCAACCCUUGUCCUUAGUUGCCAGCAUUCAGUUGGGCACUCUAAGGAGACUGCCGGUGUCAAACCGGAGGAAGGUGGGGAUGACGUCAAGUCCUCAUGGCCCUUAUGUCCAGGGCUACACACGUGCUACAAUGGCCGGUACAAAGGGGCGCAAGACCGCGAGGUGGAGCAAAUCCCAAAAAACCGGUCUCAGUUCGGAUUGGAGUCUGCAACUCGACUCCAUGAAGUUGGAAUCGCUAGUAAUCGCGUAUCAGCAUGACGCGGUGAAUACGUUCCCGGGCCUU
rnacentral:rRNA from 1 species